AGCCUGAGCCUUAGCCAUAUCCUGGGACAUGCUUCCAUGACAAGGUUCAGAUCCUGUGACCAACUUGGGGGAGGAAUGGAAGUCAGGAAAGGAAUAAGCCCUGGAGUGUUGGAGCAAAACCAAGAUUUUAGGCCAGGGUUUCAGGGGUGGGGAAGGGAGAAGUGACAGAAAAGAAGGUGGGGCCAGUGAAAGCCAGGCCUAGAGGGCAGACCCAGUCUUUACUCCUAGUAGUCUUAAGGAAGUUCUAGCUUUAGAAAGGAAUUUGGUCUAUUUACAUUUUUGAGGAUAAAUGCUUCUCGCUAGUGAUUGGCGAUUACCAUUUGCCGAUCUGAUAUCUGAAAAAAUUGAACCUUAUGGCUUUAGCACACGUUUUUCUUAUUGAGUGAGGGAGAGCAGCGGUUUCAAAUCUACAGUACUAGAGGCUGACCUCAACGCAACGCCCGAAGCUGGGCGCAAACCAACCAGUUCGGAAUGCCACAAUUCACGGAGACAUUCCCACGGACCGGGACCAUAGAGUCCCCAAAAGCACCGGGUGUGACCGGUACUGGCGGAUGAUCACCCCUCAGCUGGAGAACACUUACCAUAAAAGAGAGGGCGAGCGCCUGCCUGGGAGGAAUCCCCAGCGCUGGCAGGUCCGGGACUCCCGGGAGAGAGGUCUGCUGCCACUGCCGCCCACGCAGGGGCGCCCGAGCGACCCCGCGGAUGCUGGCUGCUGCUUCUCAGCCAGCGGCGCGUCCUCCCGACUUGUACCCGGCGGCAGCGCCCUCUCUCUCCGCAGGGUGCCCUGGAGUUAGGGACGUUCUUGGAGAAGUUGACGCUCGGGAGAGGCCGCCGAGGUCCGGUCCCGAGUGGUGAAGUGCCCCACUGCGCUGAUCUCAGCGGGAUGCGGAAGCCCUUGCCCUGAUGGCCCUAAAGCUUGGCGCCUGACCUGGAGAGAGACGAGUCCCGCGCUCAGGGCACACGGGCCUCACCUCGGCAGCCCGUCCCAGGAGCACCGGGUUUCUUCCCUAGAGCACCGAGCACACGCCGCGAGGGCUGCAGUGGUGGCCAGGGCCCGGGCAGCUGUGCGCUCAUUGCCUUCCCCAGGGGCUGAGCGCCUUUGUGCGCCGGGCGCGCCGACCGCCAGGGCCAGCUCUGGAUGCUGCAGCCGCCGCCUCCCCCUCCUCCUCCACGGCCGCUCGCUCCCCGCCUUCCCGGCCGGCCCGGAGGCUGCAGCUGAAAGCCGAUCCGGCUGAGCUCAUCCCUGAAGGCCACUAAUCCAAUAGCCGCGGAAGGCGCGGCCGCCGGGAACGCCCCUUCCCCCACCAUCCCGCGCCCCGGCCGUCCCAGCUCGGGCCGCUGCCGGCUCUGCCACCUUCUGGAGGCCACCAGCUGGCGGGAAAGGGAAGUGGAACCCUCGCCCGCGCCCCUGGGCCGAAGUGGCGCGGACGCCAUUCACUCAUCUGCGGACUGGCUGGGCUAGACACUCGCUCACACACGCGCUCAUUCAUGCGCAUGGGUCCUCCCCCAUUCAUUCAAGCAUGCCUAGAGAGCCACGAUGGGUGUCCCUAGGGGCGGGGAUGAAGAGAGGAGACACCACGGUCGCCAGAUAGCUUUGGAGCCUGUAUUCAAGGCCUGCGGGAAACAGCGACUGGGAAAGAGAAUGCUUUAAUAUACCCCCUUGCCUUAGGCACACAUAUGUCCACACUUUAUUUCUGAGGCCAGACACCAACUCAUCUUUCAGAAUCCAAUUUCACGUAGCACCUGCUCCAUGGUGCUUUUCCCCGCCCACCUGAGACCCGAGAGAAGGAUCAUUGAUCAGAAGGCUACCAAGGGCGCUGAUGGUGGGCGGCUCCCUCUUUAACCAGAGCAGAGAGAUAAGAGGGCGUGGCCAGAGCGUGGAGGCUCUGUACCUCUCCAAGCUGGCUUCCUUCCAGGCCAGGGCAUCCUGCUUUCCAUGCCAGAGUUGACAUUAGGGCCAUUCCACAGUCUUAACUGACCUCACUCACAGAAAGUGUCCUUUUUUUUUUUUUUUUUUUUUUUUCAUUUUUCUUUCUUUUUCCAUGUCCACAGAAGACAAGCACCUGUAAUUCAACCCUAUGAGGGAAAUGUGUUGACCCAGGCUCCGGGGUUCCUCUCCUAGACUGGGGAAGGCAAUUUGAGAAUGUUUCCUUGUAGAAGUGUCUGCAUGAAUGAGCUGCUAGAUGCAGAGACAUCAUAGUCUCAUGAUAGGUACCUGCAACAGCCUGUGGUAUGACUGGAGCCAAAACAGGAGGUAAGAUGAAACGGGAGUAGGUACUUAGGGUCUUGGAGAGCAUCCAAAGGGCUUGGCUUUUCCCCAAGAUCAGUUUGGCAGGCCUCUUGACCUUCACAGAUUUGCUGUCCAGAAAGAUAAUCCAGUGGCAGAGUGGAUAGAUGGAUGAACAGCACUGGCCAGCUUGGAAGCUGCUACAGAGUUCCAGGCAGUAAACGAUGCUUUGCUGAUUAGGACCGCUCAGUGGCGUGGCAGAGGGGUAUCCUGAGCAAGUAUUUAUGGCGCUCUUGAUUUUAUUUGCACUGCUUCAUCUAUGUCUGCAUGUCUGUCUCUCCGUACCUGUGUGUCUCUGCUCUUGGGGCUGCACAGAAGAGCUGCUGAAAGAAUGUGAUCCAUGCAUAUGCUUCCUUGUUCCCCUCGAGUCCCCUCCCUCCCCAGGACAUUUUUGGAGUGCUCUGACCAUGGCUGUGGUGCUGACAGAGCUGGACAGUGUGAAAUGGGAACCGAGGAAAACUCAGCAAAGGAGAACUUAAGCAAGACUUUCCAAGGACUGGAGGGAGGGAUGACUCAGAAGAGUAGUGGUGGUGCAUGCCUUUAACCCCAGCAUUCACGAGGCAGAAGCAGUCAGAUCUUUUAGUUCAAGGCCAGCCUAGUCUGCAGAGUGAGUUCCAGGAUAGCUACGGCUACCCAGAGAAACCCUGUGUCAAACAAACAAACAAACAAGAGUACUUGCUGCUCUUGCAGAGGACCAGGGUUCAGUUCCCAGCACUCACAUAGUGGCUCACAGCUCUCCAGAAUAUCAGUUCCAGGGGACCAGAUGCCUUCCUCUGACUCCCAUCAGCACCAGGCAUGUACAUAGCGCACAUACAUUCACACAGGCAAAACACUCAGACACUUAAAAUAAACCUAAAAAAAAAAAUACCCAAGACUCUCCCACUGAUGGUUUUUCUACCUGAACCCCAAUAAAACUGCCAACACUCAUUUCUUCCUUCUUUCUGGAAGACUUCACAAUAGCUUUAGAACAAGGUGAGGAAGGGUCAAGGGCCACAAUUUGAGAAACUGCUCCCCAAAAACACAUACCUGUGUACCAGAUAGGUUCUCUACACAGGCCUUUACAAAUGUGACUUGCCUUAGGUAUCAAGAAAUGGGCACAAUGGCACCCCCAAGUAUCACUAAAGUUCCCCCAAAUCUUCCACUCCCUUAAUAGCAUAGGUAUGGUGUAUCCCCAAGUUUGAAAUGUGAACAAAUAUCUGUUCAUUCCACAUAGGGUAUCCAUGGCAGACCAGAGAAAUAAUUCCACCCAAGCCUACUUUGGUGAUACAUUAGUGUUACUUACAAAAGCAUGGGAGGCACGGAGUUAUCACUAAAAAGCCCAUCCCUGGAUGGAUAGCAAGUCGAGCUCUGUGCACAGCUAGCAGUCAGAAGAGUCCAUGCCCCAGCUUUUACAAGCUUGAAAAGGAGCCUUGUGAAUCUUGUAAUUUUCAUGAGCUUUCCGAGCCUUCUAAGUUUUAUUAGCUUCCUGAGUCUUAGUUUAAAAAAAAAAGAAAAAGAAAAAGUCUUAGUAAACCUCUCUCCUCCCUCUCUGAGAGAACGUUUCAAUUCAGAGGAAACAGCCACACAUGAAGAAGAAACAAUUGCCAUUUGAGAACUGGCCUGGAUCACCUGGCCAAAUGUUCUUUAAACUGAAGUUCAAAGUCUAUAAAAUGGCCUCUGAUAAUCUUUGACCCUGGAUUGCCACAUUCUGUCUCCCUUCCUCUGAAAUGCAUGCUAGACCGUCUUGCUUUUCACAAACAGAACACAGUAGGACAGACACGCUGUCUGUCACUCCUAGGAUUGGAUAAGGAAAAGGCCUGGGGUUCUGGGCACACACACAUCAUCUCUCUUGCUCUUUUGGCUUUUGCCCCCCACAAAGGAAGCCAGGUAUUGUGUGGGGAAACUUGGUUGAGGGACUGAGACCUGCUGCUGGGAACUGAGCUAGGUAGCACAUCCCCGUCCUUGGCUGAGACUUCUCAUCAGCUUUGGUCCUUUUGAUGUCUUGACUACACUCAAGACACCUGAAUCAGAGGCACAAACUAAGACACACUGAUUCUCUUGACUGUGGAAAUGCUAAGAAAAUGACUGUGGUUUUUAAGCUUCUGAAUCUUGGGAUUUUGCUAAUCGGCAUCGUGUAACUAAUACAAGAUAUUCUUAAUUGCCAAGGAGUGGAUCUAAAUUAAAUCCCUGAUGAACUC
ensembl:antisense